CUUGAUGAAUCGAGAAUUUUGUUUUGAAGAAUGUUGACAGUUUACCCUCAUUAUUUAUCUAUAACUAAUUUGUUGAUGCGACAUGAUAUCUUUUUUUUUUUUGUCUAUUGGUAUCAGGCCAUAUUCGUGCUCAAGGCUUGAUAUUCAGUCAAGUCAGCAUUAAACAUCGCUUGAUGCUCCUUUCUUUCUUUCCUUUUUUUUUUUUUCGUCUCUCCAUGACUGAAUGACACAUGCAUUUCACUCAAUUUUUUUUAUACAGUUGUGAUGGGAGGUGUUUGAGGUCCUUCCAUGCAACUAAAGAUGCUGGUGCUGACUCAGCCUGUAAAUCUCUUGGCAUGUCUAAGGCUCAAGUGAAAGCAAUUCAAAACUUAUUGUGCGCAAAUUGCCAAUACAAACGGCAUCAGUGUUUUUUUUUUUUUUUUUAUUGGCAAGUUGGGCUCUUCUGAUAAAUCCAGCAACGCUGAGGUUUGUUAUAUUCUAGCAGAAUUUUCAAGUCUUAAAAAAUAUUAAUUUGAUCUUUUCUUGUUUGAAUGAUUACAA